rnacentral:rRNA from 1 species
UACGUAGGGUGCAAGCGUUGUCCGGAAUUAUUGGGCGUAAAGAGCUCGUAGGCGGUUUGUCGCGUCUGCUGUGAAAACUCGGGGCUUAACUCCGGGCCUGCAGUGGGUACGGGCAGACUAGAGUGCGGUAGGGGAGACUGGAAUUCCUGGUGUAGCGGUGAAAUGCGCAGAUAUCAGGAGGAACACCGGUGGCGAAGGCGGAUCUCUGGGCCUUACCUGACGCUCAGGCGCGAAAGCUAGGGGAGCGAACUGG